AUUGAACGCUGGCGGCAUGCCUUACACAUGCAAGUCGAACGGUAACGCGGGGCAACCUGGCGACGAGUGGCGAACGGGUGAGUAAUACAUCGGAACGUACCCAGUAAUGGGGAUAGCCCGGCGAAAGCCGGAUUAAUACCGCAUACGACCUAAGGGUGAAAGAGGGGGAUCGCAAGACCCCUCGUUAUUGGAGCGGCCGAUGGCAGAUUAGGUAGUUGGUGGGGUAAAGGCCUACCAAGCCGACGAUCUGUAGCUGGUCUGAGAGGACGACCAGCCACACUGGGACUGAGUCACGGCCCAGACUCCUACGGGAGGCAGCAGUGGGGAAUUUUGGACAAUGGACGCAAGUCUGAUCCAGCAAUGCCGCGUGCGGGAAGAAGGCCUUCGGGUUGUAAACCGCUUUUGUCAGGGAAGAAAUCUUCUGGGUUAAUACCUCGGGAGGAUGACGGUACCUGAAGAAUAAGCACCGGCUAACUACGUGCCAGCCGCCGCGGUAACAC
rnacentral:rRNA from 1 species